AAAAAAAAGACACAUGAAUUUCCGUGUCUAACGAUUGACCGUUUGUCUUAUUUGAAAAAAUAAUAAAAAAAUAAAAAGACAAGUCAUGCAUAAAGUAUUAAUCAUGUUUUAUCAUAAAAUUUCAUAUAAGACAGACAGUUAAACGUUGGACACGGAAACCCGGUGUUUGUCUUUUU
rfam:Oryza nivara chromosome 1, whole genome shotgun sequence.